rnacentral:rRNA from 1 species
AACGAACGCUGGCGGCAGGCUUAACACAUGCAAGUCGAGCGCCCCGCAAGGGGAGCGGCAGACGGUUGAGUAACGCGUGGGAAUCUACCCAUCACUACGGAACAACUCCGGGAAACUGGAGCUAAUACCGUAUACGUCCUUCGGGAGAAAGAUUUAUCGGUGAUGGAUGAGCCCGCGUUGGAUUAGCUAGUUGGUGGGGUAAUGGCCUACCAAGGCGACGAUCCAUAGCUGGUCUGAGAGGAUGAUCAGCCACACUGGGACUGAGACACGGCCCAGACUCCUACGGGAGGCAGCAGUGGGGAAUAUUGGACAAUGGGCGCAAGCCUGAUCCAGCCAUGCCGCGUGAGUGAUGACGGCCCUAGGGUUGUAAAGCUCUUUCGCAGGUGAAGAUAAUGACGGUAACCUGAGAAGAAGCCCCGGCUAACUUCGUGCCAGCCGCCGCCGUAAUAC